rnacentral:rRNA from 1 species
AACAGGGAUUGCCCCAGUAACGGCGAGUGAAGCGGCAACAGCUCAAAUUUGAAAUCUGGCCCCCCGGCCCGAGUUGUAAUUUGGAGAGGAUGCUUCUGGCGCGGCGCCGUCCGAGUUCCUUGGAACAGGACGCCACAGAGGGUGAGAGCCCCGUACGGACGGACGCCUAGCCUCUACGAAGCUCCUUCGACGAGUCGAGUAGUUUGGGAAUGCUGCUCAAAAUGGGAGGUAAAUUUCUUCUAAAGCUAAAUACCGGCCAGAGACCGAUAGCGCACAAGUAGAGUGAUCGAAAGAUGAAAAGCACUUUGAAAAGAGGGUUAAAAAGUACGUGAAAUUGUUGAAAGGGAAGCGCCUGUGACCAGACUUGCGCCCCGCGGACCACCCGGCGUUCUCGCCGGUGCACUCUGCGGUGCGCAGGCCAGCAUCGGUUCUCCCAGGGGGACAAAGGCCGCGGGAACGUAGCUCCUUCGGGAGUGUUAUAGCCCGCGGCGGCAUGCCCCUGGGGGGACCGAGGACCGCGCUUCGGCAAGGAUGCUGGCGUAAUGGUCACCAGCGACCCGU